GUUCUCUAGGUUAUAUUAUUAUCUAGACUCAAUGGACAAUGUAGAUAAAUGGAGAAUAUAGGGUUUGAAGAUUUAGUCCUCUGAUUCUUGGCCAAGGCGUAUAGAAAUUAAUACACACUUUCAGUUUUUUUGUGGAACAAUUAUUUCUCAUAAAAACCGGAAGAUUAACAUACAAUUAUUUUUUUAUACACCUUCAAAAAUAGGGUAACCAAAUGUAAAUUUAAAUUUAUUAUUUUUUCUUUUUACAUUUUAAUAUAAUUAUUAUUAAAAUACUAUAAAAAAGUUGAUAUCAUAAUAUAAAAUAAUUGAUAUUUUUAUAAGGAAAAACUAACUCGUGCAUUGCACGGGUAAUUUAUACUCCAUCCGUUUUAAAUUACUUGACGUUUUAGAAAAUUUUAUUUUUUUAAAAUUACUUGUCUUUUUAUAAUUUAAGGUUAUAUUUUGUCUAUUAUACCCUCAUGUAAAUUUCAAAUAUUUAGGAGUAGUUGUUGAAACCGAAAAAGAUUUAAUAUAUAUUUGAAAAACUAAAGUUUUUUUUAAAAAUUUUUUGUACAUAUAUUAAUUUUUUUGUGGUACAUGACAUAUUAAAUUUAUUGGAAAGAGAAAGUGUGUGAAAAAAUAUUUGUGAAUUAAAAUAAGAAUAUAAUAAAAAAAUAAAAUGCAAAAAUAUAAUUUCUUAAUUUUUUAUUUUUUUUUUAAAACGUCAAGUAAUUAUAAACGGAGGGAGUACCGGUUAUAAAUAUUAAUGAAACUUUUUUGUACCAGCAAAAAGAGUGAUAACCAAAACAAGCCACCAUCGCCGUCAUGUCAUAUUUUCCUUCUUAAUAUUUCCUUAUUUCAAUUUGAAUCGAGGGGAAAUACUAUUGUCACCUCACCUCACGUCAAUUAUAUACGCACCUCGUGUACCGCGUGUCGUUACAUUACAUGAUUGUGACCAAACGUAAAUGUCAGACCAUGUACGUACUAAUGGAUGGCUAGAAAACCAGGAUUGGGGUACCUACCUUUUUUUUUAUUUAAAAAAAGUGAAUUAUUAUUUGAUAUACCGGUACAUCUUAUUUGAAUGUGUAUCGAUACAUUUAAUGGCGUAGCUAGUCAGAAAAAUUGCGGCGGACCAUUACAAAUAUAAAUGGAAAAUGAAAAAAGAUUAAUAAAAAAAAAAGACAUGCCAUAUUUAGUGUGGGUCUAAUAUUGAUAUCUCAAAAAUAAUUAAAAGGUGGACCAUUACUAUUUUUAAUAAAUAAAUUUCAAAAAUAUAUUAUGAUUUUUUUUUUAUCAAUUCUUGUGUAAACUUCAUACUUGUUAAUUGGUAUUGUAUUUAUGUUUAUAGUUUAUAUGAAUCUCUCCAAAAAUUUAAUUUUUUAUACCAAAAGAUUGAUCAAACAUGAAUUUUUAUACACAAACUCUAUUUUAAAUAAAACUUUGAGUACUUUUUUCUCCAAAAAAAUAUACUUGAAUACUUCGACAAAAUAAAUUACACAUUUUAAAACAUCUAUAAAUUAUUAAAUAAUAAAACAUUAGAAGGGAUGCUUAACAAAAAAAAAUUAACAAGGACAUUUGAAUUAUUAAUAGAAUUCUCGGUCGUCCAAAUAGCGCCGCAAACUGUAAACCUGUUAAAGAAUUCUGGAAGAUCUGGUUUGAAACCCCCGCAAACUGAAAGGUAACACAUUACACAUACUAUUUAGCGAGGGUUUAUAACCGCUAAUAAAAUGGUAUACCUAUAAAAAAAUUAAAAAUUAUGGGGCGGGCCAUGACCCUACCCAGUCCAUGAAGGGCUCCGCCGCUGGGUACAUUAUUGAGGUGGAGAAUUAUGAUAGUGAUAGAAAUUUAGCAAGUGUACUAAAUUGUCGUCAAGUAAUAAAAUCAAAGUUCGUAUCCACAGGGAUUGUUUCAAUCUCGACAAAACAAUUAAAUUAAUUUAGGAUUAAUAAUUAAAAUGCAAAGGGGGGAGUUUAACUUGAUUUGGAUUUUUAUCAUAAACUUAGAAAUAACUUGGGAUUCAAAUUGAAUGAAAGAAAAGCGAUCGCUCCUUUUGGUUCAUCUAAUUACUAUUUCUCUUGGUAAUUUCAUGUAUGAUUACAAAUUACUCAAUUUAGUUUCAUGAUUAGAUUAAAUCUUAAGUGAUUAUGUCCAAUGUCUUGGUAACAUAAUUCUCUCCCUUGAUCAUCGAUUCCUAAUGUCUUAGGUAAUCUAUGAUCAAUUGAGGAAUAUAAACUUUAAUCCGUUAAUUUCAAUUAACAAUCCGAAAUGUCUUAAGUGAAAGCUAAUUGAUCAAUUAUUCAUAGAUCGAUGAUUUAUUCCUAUCGUCAUAGUAAAACAAAUCAUUGAAAUCAUCAUAUAAGUCGUGAAUUCAUACAAAGCAUUAAGCACAAAGAAUAAUCAAAGAAACUAACUUCGUAAUUUAUUGAUCAUAUCAAAUGAUAAUCACAUGGUUCAAGAUCAAUUGAAAUUAAAAUUCCCUAAGAACCAAUCAAGAAUUUAGCUACACAUAGUAAAAUAGAAAUCAAUCAACAAAGGAGGAAAUUAAAACCAAUCUUAUGUGCUUGUAGCCGUUCCUUCAAUUUCCUUCUUCCUCUGCUUCAACUUCCUCGUCCUGUAGCGUGUUGUUGCUGUACGUGAUGUGUUGUUCCUCUUGGGCGUGAUCCCUUCUUUUUGAACAGUGCGCCACUCUUUUCUUAUAUGCCAUAUGCAAUGAAUCCUCAUGUAACUUCUUGGGCCACUUUGGGAUAAGACCACUUGCAUUUUCUUGGGUCAUCCAUUGGUUUGUUUUCUAUUCACACCAACCCAUUACACUAAAACAUCUAUUAAUAAUUUUUUGCAGUCAACCAUAAACAUGUUAAGUUGAACCAAGAAAAUAAAAACAAUACAAAAUAUUAUAUUAAUAGAGAAAAACACUUAAUUGACUCAAUAAACCAAUAAUUGCAAUUUAUUUAAAAUGACUCUAAAUUAAACACUAAACUAAUAAAAUGAUAUUAAAACUUAUUAAAAAGACUUUAAAAAUAACGACUGAUGAUGACUCAUCACAACCCCAUAGUUAAUCUGUUGCUUGUCCUCAAGGAACAAUGCUUUCAAAAGAGUGCAACUCAACCUCAAACACCAAACCAAACAUUCAUGUUAAUCUAUCUCCGUAAUCAAUAAGAACAAAACAUGUCAUUUUACAAAAAUUAUCAUGCUCACGGUCACUUUCAUCUACUAACAACCAAUUGGAAAUUCAAAACAAUUCAUCCAACAUUCAUCCAUCAAGCUCAAUUCUCUCUUCGCACAAUCUCACCAAAAUUCUCUCAAGUGUUUAGGGACAUACACUCAAUCAACACAAUCUACACCUUUCUACCAUAGGCUUGUAAGGACUCUAAAAAUCGAUCGACAUACAAUGAAUAUGCACCUUUCGAGGACUUUUCGGGUUAUAGCGUGGCUUAUGUUUAUUGAAGGGUGGAUAUUUUUGGGAAACUAGGUAGAAAAACUUGAAGCUUAUAAGAUCACCUAUUUCAAAUAAAAUUGGACAAAUAAAUUGAUCCCCCAAAAUCAUCAAAUUCAUACUAGAGAACUUAAUUAUCAUUUUUUUUUCUUUUCCUCAUGCAAAUGAAUUCACAAUGUGUGAACUCAUUCCAUGGUCACAUUUUUUUUUUUCUCAAAGAAGUCCCUCGACAAAUUUGUUUUUAUUCUUUUUUUUUUUUUUCAAACAUGGUGUUAUGCAUUUUGCAUUCUCUUUAUUUAUUUAUUUUUCAUUUCUUUCACCAUUUCCAUUCUUUUUNNNNNNNNNNNNNNNNNNNNNNUUCUUUUAGUUCUCUAGUACCCCACCCCAAACUUAAUAGGUUGCAAAUCCCAAGAGCAACCCCAAACUUAAUGAUGAGCAUUGUGCUCAAAUCACAAGUUAGGUGAUCAACUUCAAGAAAAUCAUUUUUUUAUUAUUUUUUUUUGUAAAAAUUAUGUGGUUUUCAAAAAGAAGUAAGAUCAAAAUAUUUUUCUUUCAAUAAGGCUCAAAGGGUCUAGCAAGGGAUUAUAAUAUUCAAGGGUAGGCUACAAAGGCUCAAGCUCACAAAAACGUGCCUCGGUGCAUUAUUCAUCGCAAUCAAUCAAUCAAGAGAAUUCAAGCAAGUUCUAGAGAAUAGGAGAGACGUGGAACUCACAUAGUCAAGAAAGAAAUUCAAGUGUUUAAGCUCAAGACCUCACAGUUAGGAUAAUAGAGAAGAAUUAGAGCCAUUAGGAAUCAUGCUAAACAAACAGAAAUCAUUUCCUCAAAAAUCAUCAGCAAACUAAUAUAACCAAAGAGCAAUCAAUAAUGUAAGUUNNNNNNNNNNNNNNNNNNNNNNNNNNNNNNNNNNNNNNNNNNNNNNNNNNAACAAACUAACAAGCACAUUCUAGUUAAAUGCUCAAAAUCAAGUCACACAUAAAAUAUUAACUCAAACAGAUAAGGAUAGAGUAGUGACAAAUUCAUUCAACAGUGUUUUUUAUUACUUAAUAAAAUGCAAAAAUUAAAAAAAAAUAAAUUAAAGACCGAGUUACCUAUCAUGGGUUGCCUCCCAAGAAGCGCUUCUCACACUCAUUUGCCAACUUCUCACACUCAUUUACCUUUUCAACAAGAUUACCACACUCAACUUCAAAUCCAUCAAAUGAACCUUGAUUUGACCUCAAAAAUUCAUCCAAAAUCUUUUUGAGUUGAAAGUUGUAAUCAAUGUUGAUCACUUCGCACUCUUUUUCCUUCAAACAAUACUCAUCACAAUAGUCAUUGUGAUGAUUCGCUCCACAAAAAUC
rnacentral:lncRNA from 1 species